GGUGUAGAGCUGCUUACAAACGGGCAGAGCUGCUGCAGGCUGCCAGCACUGGCUGAGCAGGGCUCCUGGGGGGGUUCCUGCCACCAGAGGCCCACAGCAUGCUCAGUUAAAAGAAGGCAAAGAGCAAAUGCAACUUGGUUGCUGAUUCUACAGACCACAGCAGAAUUUCAGGCUGCUUAAUCAGUAAGAGGAUUUAGCAAACAGCGAGUUACAAUUUGCUCCCUACCCAGCUGGAAGUGGAAGCCCAGAACACCUGCGUAUAAAAAUGCCACUAAAGGUGCAACCCCAUAAUGGACUUAAGCCAAUUUCAGAUGCUGCUGCUGCCAAACGAGGAAACAACCUUCUUCUCUCCCCCCGUGCUGGCAUUUGGCAUUUUCUGACAGCACAGGGGAUCAGCUCAGCCUGUUUCAGCAAACUAAAGGUGAAGCAUGCAAACGGUGAAUCAAAGCUCAACCUAUUUUUAUUUUAUUUUCCUCUUCCUUUCUCAUUUUUGUUGCCAGCAUGUGACUGAGCAGCUAACACCAGUGUUUUCUGCGCUUUGCCUCUUGCCACUUGCUGCCACCUCCAGAUGUCUCGGUGGCUGCAUGUUGAGCUGAACUGGGGAACUGCUCCAUCUGAACAAUAGCCCGGAAAAAAUCCAAGCAGAAAAGGUUGUUGUUUGGCAGGUGAAUGUGCUCCAACCCAGUUUACAGUACAGACACUCAGCCUCGGCAGGGGACAGGGCAAGAAGAGCUUGAGGGGCACAAACAGCACAGAAGUAGAGCAAGGGGCAGGAACAGCCCCUGCAUAUAGCAGGACAGCCCCAAAGAGCGUUCCUUGAUCGACCACCCCCUUGUGAGCAAGCUUUUGAAAGAUGAUUACGAUGCACAACGCUGCUACAAGUUAUGGCAGCAAAUUUUAAAAAUGUGUGAGCGAUACAGAGUGCAACAAAUGGGCCCUUUUCUACCAGGCACGGCUGGUUUUAGCCCAACCCAUCAUCUGAUAGAGCAGGAGGUCAAUUUAUAUAAAUGUAGCAAGGAGGAAACUGAAGAAGAGGUCAACAAAACAGUAAGAUGGUAGGGAGUUAAUUUUGAUAUGUUGUCCUAAGAGAUCAAUUAAGUCCUUGACAAUUACAGGAAAUCUUAAGAUGCAUCUCAUGUUUAAUUUAAUAAUUGCAACCGCAGUUAGACUACGUAGCUUGACAAAUUAAGCACAUUGCCUUUUAAAAUAUCAAUCUAAUUAACUGGACUUAGCUUUAGUUUGAUGCUUGAUAGAUGUUUGAGGUCUGUAGAAAUUGUAGUACUGACUUUCCCAGUAGAAGUUUCCCCCCGGCAUCACUGGGCGCACACGGCUAUUUGAAAAACUCAUUUUAAAAAAAAAUCUGGUCUGAUCUUGGAGGGCCCUAUUCUUGCUACCAGUUAUUAUUUAAUAUAGGAAGCACUUCAGAGAUUAUUUUGCGAGUCUGGCCUUGAUCCAACUAAGAUUUUAAGUGCCUGCCUCCCUUCCAUAUAUAUUGCUAAUCCUCCAAUUGAUUUGUGCAGAAAUAUUCACAUGAUUCAAAUUAAACUUAAGUGCAUUGCUGGAGCAGAGCCAGAGAGCACUGAACAUUGCAUGAUUGAGCCCACAAUGGCCAAAGGUUCGCAGAUUGUCCCAUUCAACUUCACGGAUCGAAAUCCACGUCUCUGUGGAAGGACAUCACACAGAAAAUUUAUACCUCACUUAAAUCCUCCUCCAGCUUGAAAAAUCCUCUGCGGGAAUUAUCUUUUCCCAUGAUACUUCUGGUAUGUGCCCUGAUUUCCUCAGUAAAGAUGGAUUUGAGUAGUGUAACUACAUUUUCCAGUGCUUGCAAUGCACCACUUAAGGUGUUCUCCACUCCAGGACCAGCAGUGGCAGAGCUGAACAAUACCUGCUGGCAGAAGGUCACAUUCCUUCAAAUCCCAAUAGGCUUGGCUUUCAGAAAAAGAAAUAAGCACUAAACAAGUUUUCUCAUCAUUUAGAAGUUGUCUUCCCUUGUCUUAGCCUUUUAAUAAGACUUUGAGAACUUAAUUAUAAAGCCCUUUAAAGUCAUGUAUAAACGCUAGUUUGAUCAAGAAAAUGCCAUGUAACCUUUUAGAGACCUCAGCUCACAGCUUUUCAGUUGACUAAGAAAAAUUUAGGAGACAAAAGAAAGAUAAGAAUAGAAUACCGGUGGCCUUCACCAAAGUGAAGAUGCUGAUCCCAAGAGAAGCAAAAUAUUCCUCCAGCCUGAGUGUGGGGGCGACUCAGUCCUGAAGAAUCAUGGCCUGCGAGGAGCCACGAGAAGCAGCAGUGGCUCGCUUGGCAGUUUCCAAAGCUCUACCAGGGGAAAUGGGUGUGAGAUUUAAGGGCUUUAAGAAAUGAGUGUUUGCCUUUUCCCUGGACAAGGCUCUUGUUCCAAGGUGAGGCUGGUACAUACACCAAGCCCACACCAAGGCUAAGGAGAUGUGGCUCUACACGUGGGAAAAUACAAAGGUCAAACUGAAGCUGCCUUCUCGAUGACUGGAGGAAAGAUCCUUGGAGAUCAGGGUGAUAACUGAUGGGACUUAAAUGGAAGUUUUCGUCUGUUUUAGCACUAAGCCCAUUUUGACUUCCCAACAGAGGUGUUGAGCUGCACCCCUCUCCCUCAAGAGCCAGGAAAACACCCUUUUUGUGAACACCAGUGGUUAUUGCCACCAAAAAUGCAUGCACACACACAAUCUUCUAACAUCAGCUUUAUGGCAUCAGGAAUUUUCAUCUCCUCAAAGUCACCUAGGAGAUCCAUGGAAGUGGCAACCACACAUUUGAACAAAAUCUCCAGUGUUGUAGCCUACCAGAGGAAAAAAAUGCCCUAACUUGUCCCCUUUCCAGCUAUAAAUCCCUAACGCAUUUCUCAAUUCUGCUGAAGUAAUCAUCUGAGGACUAUCACUGCGUCACUGAAGGUCUACUCAAAUUAUUUAUUAAAAUAAAAGGGUGCGAUAAGUAGACCAAAAUCAGUGUGUACUGAGUUUAUUUUGCAUAUUGGGAAAUUUUCAUGUUUCGUUCUGAAACAGGUCGUUAUACUUGCUACUACAGACUUGGCA